UGGCAAAGUUGCAGUGGCCUGUUUGCUUAGGCACUGAAGUGGAUGAUGGUUAGGAUGACAACUUGCAGAGAACGCGGAUGAGACCUUCAGUUUGUGCCCACACUCAUUUGCAGCAACCCUAACAGAGAUUGUGAAGAUUUUCAAAGUGGGGCACCUCGAUUUCUCGAAUCUGUGGUGUGGCGAAUAUCCGUGUUCCUCCUGCUUAACUAGCCUGUUUGGCAGGUCUGAUUCUAUUUAUUCUAAAGACAGAGUUGGAGAUGGGCUACCAUUGGUGUUGAUUGAGAUGACAAGCAGUCACCUGAGCCCAUACAGCUGUGGGAGAAAGUGCUUGCUGCCAAGCUUGAUGACCUAAAUUGAAUCCUGGAACCUACACGACAGAAAGAGAGAGCUGACUGCUGAAAGAUGUCCUCAGAUCUUCACAUAUGCACAGUGGCACCUAUCCAACCAUGCACAUAGUAUAUUAAAAAUUAUUUUUUAAAAAA
ensembl:processed_transcript AV026068 expressed sequence AV026068